AGAGUUUGAUCMUGGCUCAGGAUGAACGCUAGCGGCAGGCUUAAUACAUGCAAGUCGAACGGGAUCCGAGGUAGCAAUACUUUGGUGAGAGUGGCGCACGGGUGCGUAACGCGUAUGCAACCUACCUWUAACUGGGACACAACCMGCCGAAAGGCWGGCUAAUAUYCCAUAACAUUGCGAUGUGGCAUCACAUUGCAAUUAAAGCUCCGGCGGUUAUAGAUGGGCAUGCGUGACAUUAGCUAGUUGGURAGGUAACGGCUYACCAAGGCYWCGAUGUCUAGGGGUUCUGAGAGGAUUWUCCCCCACACUGGUACUGAGACACGGACCAGACUCCUACGGGAGGCAGCAGUAAGGAAUAUUGGGCAAUGGACGCAAGUCUGACCCAGCCAUGCCGCGUGAAGGAUGAAGGCCCUAUGGGUUGUAAACUUCUUUUAUACGGGAAAAAACCUYCGGUCGUGAAYCGGAGCUGAUGGUACCGUAAGAAUAAGCAUCGGCUAACUCCGUGCCAGCAGCCGCGGUAAUACGGAGGAUGCAAGCGUUAUCCGGAUUCAUUGGGUUUAAAGGGUGCGCAGGCGGAGUGAUAAGUCAGUGGUGAAAUCCUACGGCUCAACUGUAGAACUGCCAUUGAUACUGUCAUUCUUGAGUACUGUUGAGGUGGGCGGAAUGUGUCAUGUAGCGGUGAAAUGCUUAGAUAUGACACAGAACACCGAUCGCGAAGGCAGCUCACCAAGCAGAAACUGACGCUCAUGCACGAAAGCGUGGGGAUCAAACAGGAUUAGAUACCCUGGUAGUCC
rnacentral:rRNA from 1 species